rnacentral:rRNA from 1 species
GAUGAACGCUAGCGACAGGCCUAACACAUGCAAGUCGAGGGGCAGCACAAGGAGCAAUCUGAGGUGGCGACCGGCGCACGGGUGAGUAACACGUAUGCAACCUGCCUGUAAGCGGGGGAUAACCCGUUGAAAGACGGACUAAUACCGCAUAAUACUGGAGAUCUGCAUGGAUAUUCAGUUAAACAUUUAUGGCUUACAGAUGGGCAUGCGCAUGAUUAGAUAGUUGGAGAGGUAACGGCUCCCCAAGUCAACGAUCAUUAGGGGUUCUGAGAGGAAGGUCCCCCACACUGGUACUGAGACACGGACCAGACUCCUACGGGAGGCAGCAGUGAGGAAUAUUGGACAAUGGGCGGCAAGUCUGAACCAGCCACGUCGCGUGAAGGAAGACGG